UUGCUUUGGCAGCAAAUGUACUAAAAUGGGAAUGAUGCAGAGAAGAUUAGCACAGCCCCUGCACAAGGAUGACAUGCAAAUUCAUGAAGCAUUCCAUAUUUUU